UACGAGGGGGGCUAGUGUUGUUCGGAAUCACUGGGCGUAAAGAGCUCGUAGGCGGCUUGUCACGUCGACUGUGAAAAUCCGGGGCUCAACCCCGGACUUGCAGUGGGUACGGGCAGACUAGAGUGUGGUAGGGGAGACUGGAAUUCCUGGUGUAGCGGUGAAAUGCGCAAAUAUCAGGAGGAACACCGAUGGCGAAGGCAGGUCUCUGGGCCACUACUGACGCUGAGAAGCGAAAGCAUGGGGGAGCGAACAGGG
rnacentral:rRNA from 1 species